AUGAAAAGUAGAGUGUUAAGAUCAGAAGUCCAUAUGUGAGCAGUGUUAUUUCUUAUGUGCUAUACAAAUAGUUGAAGUUUAAUUAGCAGUAUAACUAUAAAUAGUAAUGCUGCCAGUCUCCUUCAGACAAAA
rfam:Otolemur garnettii contig006969, whole genome shotgun sequence.